UCGACAACGGCUUGAGGAACCCUUCUUGAAGGCACUCAAGACCGACUUGCCAACCCCAGGCACAAUCAUCCAGGGUUUUCGGGAUCUUUCAAAUGCAGUAGGCGGGGAAGCGCUGGGCCUGGCUGGUCAGGCGCCAGCCCGCGGAGACCGAAGCCGUCGGGUGCCUCGAGUGAGGCAGGCCGGGCAGGGGAGUCGGGGAGAGUAGGCUGCAGGCCCCACACUCACGGCGGCCGCUCCCCUUCAAAGUCCAACCACGCUCGGAGGCCCUGCCCCACCACGUUCCCGGGACCCUUCCCCACCUUUCCCCGCGGAUGACACUCGGAGGUUCCGGAAACGUCACAUCCGGCGCCCGCUCCGCCCACUCCCGCUGGUCUGUCUAUUACAUUCCCAAUGAUUUAGGACUGGGAAUGGAGAGCUAGUAGGUGGGGCUAGAAUCGGCACCUGCGGAAAAUCCGACCAAUGAGGAGCGAGCGACGCAGCGGCCAUCUUGGUAAAGGAAAAGGAACAAGGAAGAAAGUGGAACCAAUUACCAAGCUAAGCUGGAGUUGGAAUUACCCAAUGAAGUUGUUCUUAAGAAGGCUACUUAAAACCAGUAACAUGAAGGUGAAUCUGUGGUUUGGAGCUCCCCUUACAGUUUGUUUGAAGACUGGUCUCUCCAUCUCCAGGAAAAAUGACCACUUUGGAAAAUGAGUUCUUACGCAUGCUUGGAAAUAUUUUUAAUGUGUAUAUAUUAUUUAAAUUUAUGUUUAAAUGUGUACAUGAGGAAUCUGUUUUAUGUUAGACAUAUUUUUUUCUUUUGUUACCUGCUUGCCAACUGUGGACUGUAUAAUUUAUUUUCCAAUAAGUCAAAGUCUUUCUUUUAGGUCAGUGCCAUUUUCAAGGUUGCGAAUUUCAACAAGAGUUAAAUGACAUACGAAACUUGAUGGCUAUUUGAGAAUUGGACGUUUUGAAUGAGAGAUUUUAUCAUUUUAUAUUUGGUUUACAUAUUUCUUUUCAAAUAUAGGGCCUGAAUUAUGACCAAGCACUGUAACUUUUAAUGAGGGAUAAAGAAUUGCAUGCCACUCUGAAAAAUACUCAUUUAGUUAGUCAUUUGACAAAUAUUAAUUAUCAUCUAUGUGCCAGACACUGUUUAAGGCAUUAGGCACAUAUCAAUGAACAAAGCAGACAAAAAUUUCCCUGCCCUUGGGGAUCUUGUAGUUUAGUGAUGGAUGAAGGAGUGGUGGAUUCUAAAAAUUAUCAUGAUAAAGAAGUCAAUUACAUAGUGUAUGAGAAGGUUCAAAGUACUGUGAAAGCAAUGGGCCCUGGCACAGGAAAUCAGAUUGAAGGAAGGGAGAAGCAGUGAGGCAACUGCAAUUCCCAAUAGUGUGGUCAAGGAAACUCCCAUUGAAAAGAUUUGAGAAAAGACUUGGAGGUAAGAAGAGCUUUCCAGGCAGGGAACAGCAAGUGCAGAGGCCUUGAAUCAGGAGCUUGCUGGUGCAUUCAAGGCACAGUAAGGGGGCUCAGCGUGCCCUGGAGUGGAGUGAAGGGGAGUGUAGCAGUAAAUCAUGUAGGGCAAGAGUCAGCAAACCAAUGCAGCCUGUUUUUGUAAACAAAGUUGUAUUGGAACAUGGCCAUGCUUGUUUGUUUAUGUAUUUUCUGUGGCUGCUUUCAUGCUACAACCACAGAGUGGAGUUGUUGAGACGGAGAUGAUCUAUCCCACAAAGACUAACAUAUUUAACUGUCUGAGUCUUUAUAGAAAAUAUUUGCUGACCCCUGCUGUAGGUAAGAUUUCACAGGCCACCGUAACAAUGUUGACUUUGACUGAGAGAAAUGAGAAGCUAUGGGAAGGAUUGAGCAAAAGAGUGACAGGAUCUGAUUUGUGUUUUGAAAGGAUCAUUAUGGCUGCCAUGUUGACAAAUUUUAGGGAAAAGGCCGCGAACAGGAAAACCAAUUAGGACUGUGGUUCAAAAGGUGUACCAACCAGGCACAGUGGCUCAUGCCUACAAUCCCGGUGCUUUGGGAGGCUGAGGUGGAAGGAUCUCUUGAGGCCAGAGUCUGAGAUCGCAGCAGUGAGCUAUGAUCACAGCACUACACUCUAGCUUGGGUGACAGAGUGAGACCAUGUCUUUAAAAAAAAAAAAAAAAAAAAAAAAGUGCACCAAUGUGCUCCCAAGAUACUACAGCAGAUUAAUCUGGGUGCAGCUGGGUAUUUUAAAUUCAUGAAGGAUUCACAGCAAUACCCAACAUCUGUUAGAUAUUGUAUGAGCUUCUAGCUAGUAGGUAUAGUUCACAGUUUCAACAUCAGAUCAUGCCACAUUCCUUUCAAUGAUACUGUGUCUUUGUGAAGCUGGGUUUUUAGCAAGUGCCCUAUGCAAAUCAGUGUGGAACAGGAGGUGAUGCUGGUAGUAUCCAACUUGAUUCUAAGGUUUGAGAUGUACAGUACCCAACUGGCAUACAUAUCCCAUUAGCAAGUGAUUGUGGCUAAGAGUAAAGUUUUCUUUUAACUUAAUUAUAUUAUUUUUCAGAUGGCACCUUACUUGUUAGAGCAUUGUAUUCGUUUCUAGUCGCUGCUCUAACAAAUCACUACAAAUGACUUCAAAGUUUUCUGCCCCAAGCAACUGAAAAAUGGCAUUACCAUGAACUGAGAUAAAGAAAAUUGUGUAUGAACCAGGUUUUUUUUUGUGGGGGUAGGAGGGCAGAUGAGAGAUUCAAUUUUAUACAUGUUUAGGAAAGAAGAUACAAAGAGAAGGAAAUGAUAUACAUUCUGACCAGGGCCUUUCUCCAGAUUGUCCACCCAUGAGCCCUUUAGGCUGUUGUGUUUUGACUUCUCACUCAAAACAUGGACUGAGCAAGUACAGAGGUGCCAUGUUAGAGAGAGGAGACUCAGCAAGCCUUGUCUGACUCAGAGUCUUAACUAGUUUGGGGCAAAUGGAGCUCUGUUUAAGGGAACAGAGAACUACAGGGUUCCCAUGUUUAAUUAUGUCAAAAGAUUGAGCAGGAUUUUAGAAAGAUGGAGGCAGCAGUGUAGUUUUGAAUCUCCUCAAAUCCUCUCAUGGAAAUAGAUCAAACCAAACAAAAAACCCAUAAGUAGCCUUUACCACAAAACUAGAGGACAGUUUUCCCUAUGAACCCCAAAACAAGAGUGUGGGGCAAACCAUCACCAGUGGGCACCAGACUUGCCUGGUAUGGCAUCCACACAAGAGGGAGUGGUAGACAAUAUGCCUUCAAACUGCCAGCAGAAGUUCACUGGAAAGUACCAUGGGCCAAUGUGAGAAAAGCAGCUGAAAUUGAGGGGUUUUGCCCAGUCACAAAGUAAGUACAAGGGACCUGUGAUAGACUCUGAAGCACUGAAGCAGUCUAGUCCCUUCCCACUCUUGGGCCCGAGCAGCCAGAGCUCCUUUCCAGGAUGCGGCCCUGGAAACACAGAGGAAAAACUACUGGGAGGAACAACAGAUACAAAGGAUAAAAAUCAAGGAGGGAAACAGAGCUAGGAAAUGUCAAAAAGCAAACCACCAUGUCAUUUGAUACUACGUUUUGAAAAAAGAGAAGUUUGGGGAGGUUUUAGAAAAGUUAUCCUUAACAUCUCCUUUUCAAAGUGCAGAAACACUAAUUUCACCUAAAAAUGAAUAACAAAAGGAUCGUAGUCAAAUCCCAUACAAAGGUAUUAUAAGAAAAAGAGAAUAAGCAGCAGAAUAGCAUCCCGUCAGACAAUAAAAGCAAGUCAGAAAAGACAGGCCCACAAGCUGAUCCGAAGAGUAAUCUGCUAUUUCAAAACCAGCUAAAAGACAUUAGGAAAAAACAAUGCAAAAGACGAAAGGACCAUGGGGGGCAGGAUGGGAAGUUACUGAAUGAGUACUGUACAGAGUUUUUGUUUGGGAUGAUGAAAAAGUUCUGGAGAUGGAUAGUGGUAAUGGUGGAACAACAGUAUGAAUCUAAUUAAUGCCACUGAAUUGUACACUUAAAAUGGUUAAAAUGGUAAAUUUUACGUUAUGUGUAUUUUACUGCAAUAAAAAGGGUGAGAAAACAAUAUAAAUCAAAAUUAGGUGAGAUGGUAGAACUCAGAACAGGAUUAAAAACAAAAGAAAAACUUCAGAAAUGAAGACUAAAGUAAAAAGAACACAAGAAUGAACAGGGUGGGCAUGGUGGCUACAUUUUAAAAAAACACCUGUAAUCCCAGCACUUUGGGAGGCCAAGGCGGGUGGAUCAGUUGAGGCCAGGAGUUCAAGACCAGCUUGGCCAACAUGAUGAAACCCUGUCUCUACUAAAAAUACAAAAAUUAGGCCGGGCGCGGUGGCUCACACCGGUAAUCCCAGGGCUUUGGAGGCCGAGGCGGGUGGAUCACCUGAGGUUAGGAGAUUGAGCCCAGCCUGACCAACAUGGCAAAACCCCAUCUCUACUAAAAAUACAAAAUUAGCCAGGCAUGGUGGUGCAUGCCUGUAAUCCCAGCUACUCGGGAGGCUGAGCCAGGAGGAUCGCUUGAACCUGGGAGGCAGAGGUUGUGGGGAGCCGAGAUCGUGCCAUUGCUCUCCGGCCUGGGCAACAAGAAGGAAACUCCGUCUCAGGAAAAAAAAAAAAAAAAAAAAAAUUAGACAGGCAUGGUGACGUGCACCUGUAAUCUCAGCUACUCAGGAGGCUGAGGCAUGAGAAUCGCUUGAACCCAGGAGGUGAAAUUUGCUGUGAGCCAGUUGGCACCAGUGCACUCUAGCCUAGUGACAGAGCGAGAGUCCGCCUCAAAGAAAACAAAAAAAAAAAGAAAGAAAAAGAAAAAGAAAAAAGAAUGAAUUAGCAUAAUGGAUAAUGCCUUUAAAAAAAGAAGAAAUUUUUAAAAAUCAAAAAGAUGAUAAAAAGAAUUCUGGAGAAAUGGCAAAUAACAAAAGAUAGGCAAAAACGUCAGGACAGUUCUGAAAAGAGUAAUGCAAACACAUAGAAAUGUAGUAUACCAUAAAAGUGACAUUUCAAAUCAAUGGGACAGAUUAUUCAGUAAAUUGUAAUACGUACAUGUUGGGGUAAAAAUAAAUAAUUUAUCUGGAAGAAUCCUUAAAGUGGCAAAAGUAGAUGCCUCUAAGGGAGGGGGUAGGUGGUGGCUGGGAAACUUGGGGAAAGGGUGAAUUUCCAUUGUCACCAUUUUGUAUCUUUCCAAUGUUCUGUCAUGUGAAUCUAUCACCUUUUAAGUCUAAAAUGCCUGUGUUCAAAUCCCAGCUAUUCCUAGCAGUUGCUAGCUAGCUCUUAAUCUUGGGCAAAUUCUUCAGAUUCUCUACCUCCUUAUCUGUGAAAUGGGAUGAAUAACUUAGCCAGGUGCUGCCUAGCACAGAAUAAACUCUCAACAAAUAUAAACUGCUGGUGGAAACAACCCAAAUGUCUAGUAAUGGAUGAAUGAAUAAGCCAAUGUGGUGUAGUCAUACAAUAGGAAUACUAUGCAGUAUGAAAAGGAAUAAAGUUCAGACACACACUACAACAUAGAGAAACCUUUAAAACAUAGUACUAAAUGAAAGAAGCCAGAUACCAAAGGUCACAUGUUGUAUGAUUCCAUUUAUAUGAAAUGUCCAGAAAAGGUAAAUCCAGAGAUUGGUGGUUGCCUGGUGUCAGAGGGAGGAGGGAAUGAGGAGUGACCGCUAAUGGGUAGAGGGCUUUUUUGCAGGGGAUGAUGAAAAGGUAAUGGCUCAGAUAGUUGUAAUGAUUAUACAACCUUGUGAACAUACUAAAUGCCACUGAAUUGUA